GAAAGGCUUUCUGACUCAGUUGGGACUCGGACCGGGGACCUUCUUGCUGUGAAGAGACAGUGCUUCCCACUGAGCCACUUGUUCUGCCUCUAACUCUGUUUG